rnacentral:rRNA from 1 species
GACGAACGCUGGCGGCGUGCCUAAUACAUGCAAGUAGGACGCAGUUGCGAACGGGUGAGUAACGCGUAGGUAACUGCCUAUUAGAGGGGGAUAACUAUUGGAAACGAUAGCUAAUACCGCAUACUAGUAGAUGGACCUGCGUUGUAUUAGCUAGUAGGUAGGGUAAUGGCCUACCUAGGCAACGAUACAUAGCCGACCUGAGGAGGGGAUCGGCCACACUGGGACUGAGAACCGGGCCAGACUCCUACGGGAGGCAGCAGUAGGGAAUCUUCGGCAAUGGGGGGAACGCUGACCGAGCAACGCCGGGUGAGUGAAGAAGGUUUUCGGAUCGUAAAGCUCUGUUGUUAAGGAAGCGGUACUUAACCAGAAAGGGACGGCUAACUACAUGCCAGCCGCCGCGGUAAUUC